AACUACAGUGGCACAGUGGUUUGAGUGUUGGAUUACAACUCCUGAGACCAGGGUUUGAAUCACUGUUUGGCCA